rnacentral:tRNA from 1 species
GUGGGGAUAGCUCAGUGGUAGAGCUCCUGCUUAACAUGCACGAGGUCCUGGGUUCAAUCCCCGGUACCGCCG